AUUGAACGCUGGCGGCAUGCUUUACACAUGCAAGUCGGACGGCAGCACAGAGAAGCUUGCUUCUUGGGUGGCGAGUGGCGAACGGGUGAGUAACAUAUCGGAACGUACCGAGCAGUGGGGGAUAACUAAUCGAAAGAUUAGCUAAUACCGCAUAUCUUCUGAGGAAGAAAGCAGGGGACCAUUUGGCCUUGCGCUGUUUGAGCGGCCGAUAUCUGAUUAGCUAGUUGGUGGGGUAAAGGCCUACCAAGGCGGCGAUCAGUAGCGGGUCUGAGAGGAUGAUCGGCCACACUGGGACUGAGACACGGCCCAGACUCCUACGGGAGGCAGCAGUGGGGAAUGUUGGACAAUGGGCGGAAGCCUGAUCCAGCCAUGCCGCGUGUCUGAAGAAGGCCUUCGGGUUGUAAAGGACUUUUGUCAGGGAAGAAAAGGGCGGGGUUAAUACCCCUGUCUGAUGACGGUACCUGAAGAAUAAGCACCGGCUAACUACGUG
rnacentral:rRNA from 1 species